AUAAGAAUUAUCUCUUUCUACAUUAAUAUUAAUUAUCUUGUCAUUCUUGGAAUCCUGUUAUCCCUACUUUAUAAGGAAUUAUUUCAUUUUCCUCUUGUGUAUAUCUUCUUCCUUUUUAGAUGAGUUUCCUAUUGUAUUUAUAGGAUUCCCUAUAAAGGUAGAUUUCAUGUGUAUAAAAUGAUAGCACGUAUGAGAUCUUGUACACAAU
rnacentral:misc_RNA from 1 species